UACGAAGGGGGCUAGCGUUGCUCGGAAUCACUGGGCGUAAAGCGCACGUAGGCGGCUUCUUAAGUCAGGGGUGAAAUCCUGGAGCUCAACUCCAGAACUGCCUUUGAUACUGAGGAGCUUGAGUCCGGGAGAGGUGAGUGGAACUGCGAGUGUAGAGGUGAAAUUCGUAGAUAUUCGCAAGAACACCAGUGGCGAAGGCGGCUCACUGGACAUGUAUUGACGCUGAGGUGCGAAAGCGUGGGGAGCAAACAGG
rnacentral:rRNA from 1 species